ACAGGAGGUUGUCCUGCGGUUUACACAUACCUUCAUGGAUUCUCCUGGUGGAGAGCUAUACUGAUAUUUUUUCUGUGUUUAAAGCCUUCUUACCCCUGAAUGGCAUCUCCUGACUGGAUCACAAUGUUGUGGAGUUAGAGCUCAGAAAACAACGUGUGGAAAGUGAGGGAAUGGACGCAGCAGAGCUGUUAGCUACAGCAAAGUGAUGUGGACACACUAAGGUCAGGGGCCUUUUCUCCAAAGAAAAGUGGAAGCACAACACUGUCACUUGAAAGGAGCAUGUGUGGAGGACAGGACCCUAGAAAAGGCAUCCAAGGAUGGAUUGGGGGAAAGCAGUGAGGGGAAGGAGAACAACAUUUAAAUGGCAGAAGAAACAGACUGUGUGGACCUUUCAGCUCCACCCCAACACCAAGAAGGAGGUCAUCAAGAAGAUGGGAGCCAGACUCUUCUCAGAGAUGGAAGGAUGACAGACAACAGGUAUAAGUGGAAAUAAGA
rnacentral:lncRNA from 1 species